rnacentral:rRNA from 1 species
GUCAGGCGGGGCCACCCGCCGAGUUUAAGCAUAUAAAUAAGCGGAGGAGAAGAAACUUACGAGGAUUCCCCUAGUAACGGCGAGCGAACCGGGAUCAGCCCAGCUUGAGAAUCGGGCGGCCGCGCCGUCCGAAUUGUAGUCUGGAGAAGCGUCCUCAGCGACGGACCGGGCCCAAGUCCCCUGG